UGGGGAAUCUUGGACAAUGGGGGAAACCCUGAUCCAGCGAUGCCGCGUGAGUGAAGAAGGCCUUAGGGUUGUAAAGCUCUUUCACCUGUGACGAUAAUGACGGUAACAGGAGAAGAAGCCCCGGCUAACUCCGUGCCAGCAGCCGCGGUAAGACGGAGGGGGCUAGCGUUGUUCGGAAUGACUGGGCGUAAAGGACGCGUAGGUUGUUAAUUAAGUCAGACGUGAAAGCCUUGGGCUUAACCCAAGAACUGCGUUUGAGACUGGUUAACUAGAGUAUGGUAGAGGAAUGUGGAAUUCCGAGUGUAGAGGUGAAAUUCGUAGAUAUUCGGAGGAACAUCUGAGGCGAAGGCGACAUUCUGGGCCAUAACUGACACUGAAGCGUGACAGCGUGGGGAGCAAACAGG
rnacentral:rRNA from 1 species